AGCAGUCUAGUUUGGUAGAGUCGGGUUAGCAACAGUGGUGACACGACCUAACCGAGACAGCCAGGCCUCAGUCUCUGCACGAGUCAGCAAGAGGAACCAGCAGGCACGCCAGGAGUUCUCGGCUGUGCCUCUCUCAGCAAAGUGAAGAUCAGUGAAGACUGGAAGCCUUGAGACCCAUAAGCACUGCACAGCUAGCUCUCUCUACAAGCAAGCCAAGCUCAGCAUCAGCCACUGACUGUCAAGUCCUACUUAUACCCUCCAAACAUCACAUGGCCUCCAUGGGCCUCAGCAUGUGCAUCUGUCUCAGAUGACAUCACUCUGCCAAUCAAUCGAAGUUCACAGAAGUGUCAAGAAACUGCAGCACACCACCAGAAGUUUUUUUGGUGCUGUUUCUCCCUAUGCAGUCCCGACAAAUACAACUCGACUAUGCAAGGCCCAGUGUGAUGGAAAAUUAUUGCAGGUUGGAGGCCAGCCUGGUCUACACAGGAAGUUGUAGAGAGAGACUCUAUCUCAAGAAACAAAACCAAAGAUAACAAUAAGAUGUAAGAAGCAAACAGAAUCUACAUUUUCCUGGGCUUCCUCAAGAAAGGAAGCAAGGAAACACAGUGGCUGUUUCACUGACCGACUACGCCAGCUGUCAUCACUAGAACCCUUGAUGAGGCCUGUUUUUUUGGGAGUCAUGGCUGCUUUGAUUCCAGUUGGCUAUGAUCCAACCUAGAGGAAUCAGCUCCGGAGCGCUCCUUAGUUACCAGGUGAUUACAUCAUUCCAGGUAUCCGACACGGGGGAAACUGGCUCAGUAGCUGAUUCCUCAAACAGCUUGCUUUGUGUUGGUUUGGUUUUUGAGGUACAGUCUCAUUACAUGGUCUAGCCUGGGCUAGAAGCUCAUGGUCCUCUUACCUCAGCCUCCUGAGUGCAGGGAUAUAUGCUUGCACAACCACACUUCUUAAAUUUUUUUCUUUAAUUACAUUCACUGACAACCUCAUUGCCCUGGCAAGUCCUGCAUUUUCUCCAUGUCACGUGGAAGGAGAGUGACGAUGGAAUGUCGAAAGCCCAGGAGCAGUGCCUCUCCUCCCCAUCCAUUACUUCCCAGCAUAUCCUGGCUACAAGCUCCUCCUCACAUCCCUAUGCAGGGAGCAGGUUGGCAGCUUGCCUAGUCUCGAAGUCUCAGUCAUUAUUGACUGGCUGUCUGAGUUUCCUCUUCAGAGUAUCUGAUCACCCACCUCCCUAAAAUAGCCCCAGCCAGGGUCAGAUUACCCGCAGCUGCCAGGUCAUACCUGCAAGACGAGCUCUCCCGACAAGCCUAGGGGAAACAAAUCCAUGAUGCUAGUGGUGAUACCUGGAGCAAGUCAGUGGGACCUGUCCAGUCUUGGAUCGCUCAGUGGGGAGUAGACGUGUUAGAGACUAGGGCAGCUCAUCCGUCUCUUUCUUUCUUAUAAACCUUCCACCUCCUCCAAGUCUAUUAUAGAAAGGAAACUCGAGAGCAGAUCCUUAUUUUUCUCCUGGACUUCCUACAUUUGUCCUUGUUACCCCGAAGUCUACCCUCAAUCUAGAGUCCAAAGAAGUAGAGUGUUUGCCUACUACAAAUGAAGCUCUGGGUUGGAGAAUUAGCACCCCAUAAAAGGUUUGGUAAUCCUUUGGUAAUCCUAGCACUUGGAAGGUAGAGGCAGUAGGAUCAGAAGUUCAAGAUCAACCUUGUAAAGUAAGGGGCUAGCCUGUGCAACAUUAGGUAGGGUCUCAAAAGAGCAGUAACAAAAAACACAUUGGGAUACACCAAUGCUUUGCUCAGAACCAUCCAGUGGCUCCUAUCCAACCAGAGGCAAAGCCUUACAAUGGCUGAAGGGCCUGCAGGAUCUGCCAUCAUCCUCCUAAGCCUUUAGGAACCUGACUCCUUAUUAUAGUCUCUCUCUCUCUCCCCCCCGCCCCACUCAGAACAAAAGUGUUGCUCUUUAUAUGCACAGACCCCUCCCACUUCAGGACCUUUGUCCACCCAGGGGACUCUUUCCCCAGAGCUCCACUCAGCCCACUCUUCAGUCUUCCUGCAAACCCCCCUUCUCAGCAAAGCCUCCACUACUGUAAACAGAGCUAAUUACUCCUGGAGGCUGUCCUGGCUCCCUCUCCUCCACCUCAUCCUGUCCUAUUAUUCCCAAAGAAUGAAUGAGUCAUAUCCUGGCAUAGCAUGUAACUUACCUCUGUUCUCUAAUCAUUAGACAUGUAAUCUCUAAGAAGACAUAGAUGUUUGUCCUUUUUGUCUA